CGCACAUUGCACCUUUUGGUAUUCCGAGAGGUAUGCUUGUUCGAGCGUCGUUUAAAUAAUAUCAAUUUAAUUAUUGAAUGUAUUGGGAUAUCUUUUUUAUUAAUAAAAAAAAUUCCUUAAAAGAAUUGUUAGCGAUUUUAAUUCGAUUAUGAUACAACGCAUUAAUAUUUUUAUAUCGUUGAAUGUAAAUCAAUAUGAAAUCUGCCAAAAAACAUUUAAAUUUAAUUAUUUAAAUAUUUCAAAAAAUCGACCUCGGAUCAAGUAGGAUUACCCGCUGAACUUAA
rnacentral:misc_RNA from 1 species